CUUGGGAGUAUGCUUUUAAUAAACUCUCCAGAGCCCCUGCUCUGAAAUAUUUAAGAAGCUGCUACAUCUUCUCACACUCAGUGAAAAUGACCAUCCCAAGCCAAGGUUUACUGUGCUUUAAGAACUCACACUGACACCAAACAUGUUAUUAUUAUAGGUGCUUUCUUGCUAGGCCUGCCUCAUUUAUCUGAACAAGAAUUCCUAUUUAAAAUUCUAUGAGACACCCAUUCACAAGAUUUCUAGUACAGACACACCUCUAAGAAUUCCAGUUCUGGAAGGAUGUAAUUAGCCAAUUAAAAUUUUCCUUCAGAUGGGGGGAAAAAAAAAGCUUGAAUGGCAAUAGUGGUUCUUCUGUGCAGGUAACUCUAUAUAUUUAGGUCAUGAGUAAGGGCUGUGUGAGCAAAUAUAUGUCAGUGUUUGUCUUAAAAAGAGCAAAUGCAUAUAGAAUUGUUAAAAUGAGCUACCAGCAGAAACACUCCUGUGCAUGCCAGUUGGCCUUGGCUGGUAUUCUCUGGAUUAUCUAAGGUUACAAGCAAACAGAAGAUUCUGUGUGGGGAAGGGGCAGUUGGGUUUUCCCUCACCACCCCCCCUCCAUGUUUUUCUAAUCCUAACACCUGAGGGCAGCAGAUACAGUAAACAAGGGGUUGUUUGUAAUGCAAAUCCAAGCAGCAGGGCUGACUAGGGACAGCUCCCACCCCAAGUCCAAACACAAAUGGUCACCCUGCUCCUGACACCCUGGAUGCAAACCUAUCACUGUGGAUGUCCGCUAGGCAAACACUCAGUCCUGCUAAGAA
rnacentral:lncRNA from 1 species